GACGAACGCUGGCGGCGUGCUUAACACAUGCAAGUCGAACGGAAAGGCCCUGCUUUUGUGGGGUGCUCGAGUGGCGAACGGGUGAGUAACACGUGAGUAACCUGCCCUUGACUUUGGGAUAACUUCAGGAAACUGGGGCUAAUAACGGAUAGGAGCUCCUGCUGCAUGGUGGGGGUUGGAAAGUUUCGGCGGUUGGGGAUGGACUCGCGGCUUAUCAGCUUGUUGGUGGGGUAGUGGCUUACCAAGGCUUUGAUGGGUAGCCGGCCUGAGAGGGUGACCGGCCACAUUGGGACUGAGAUACGGCCCAGACUACUACGGGAGGCAGCAGUGGGGAAUAUUGCACGAUGGGCGGAAGCCUGAUGCAGCAACGCCGCGUGCGGGAUGACGGGCUUCGGGUUGUAAGCCGCUUUCGCCUGUGACGAAGCGUGAGUGACGGUAAUGGGUAAAGAAGCACCGGCUAACUACGUG
rnacentral:rRNA from 1 species